CGGGUGAGUAACACGUGGAUAACCUACCUAUAAGACUGGGAUAACUUCGGGAAACCGGAGCUAAUACCGGAUAAUAUUUUGAACCGCAUGGUUCAAAAGUGAAAGACGGUCUUGCUGUCACUUAUAGAUGGAUCCGCGCUGCAUUAGCUAGUUGGUAAGGUAACGGCUUACCAAGGCAACGAUGCAUAGCCGACCUGAGAGGGUGAUCGGCCACACUGGAACUGAGACACGGUCCAGACUCCUACGGGAGGCAGCAGUAGGGAAUCUUCCGCAAUGGGCGAAAGCCUGACGGAGCAACGCCGCGUGAGUGAUGAAGGUCUUCGGAUCGUAAAACUCUGUUAUUAGGGAAGAACAUAUGUGUAAGUAACUGUGCACAUCUUGACGGUACCUAAUCAGAAAGCCACGGCUAACUACGUGCCAGCAGCCGCGGUAAUACGUAGGUGGCAAGCGUUAUCCGGAAUUAUUGGGCGUAAAGCGCGCGUAGGCGGUUUUUUAAGUCUGAUGUGAAAGCCCACGGCUCAACCGUGGAGGGUCAUUGGAAACUGGAAAACUUGAGUGCAGAAGAGGAAAGUGGAAUUUUCCAUGUGUAGCGGUGAAAUGCGCAGAGAUAUGGAGGAACACCAGUGGCGAAGGCGACUUUCUGGUCUGUAACUGACGCUGAUGUGCGAAAGCGUGGGGAUCAAACAGGAUUAGAUACCCUGGUAGUCCACGCCGUAAACGAUGAGUGCUAAGUGUUAGGGGGUUUCCGCCCCUUAGUGCUGCAGCUAACGCAUUAAGCACUCCGCCUGGGGAGUACGACCGCAAGGUUGAAACUCAAAGGAAUUGACGGGGACCCGCACAAGCGGUGGAGCAUGUGGUUUAAUUCGAAGCAACCGCGAAGAACCUUACCAAAUCUUGACAUCCUUUGACAACUCUAGAGAUAGAGCCUUCCCCUUCGGGGGACAAAGUGACAGGUGGUGCAUGGUUGUCGUCAGCUCGUGUCGUGAGAUGUUGGGUUAAGUCCCGGGCAACGAGCGCAACCCUUAAGCUUAGUUGCCAUCAUUAAGUUGGGCACUCUAAGUUGACUGCCGGUGACAAACCGGAGGAAGGUGGGGAUGACGUCAAAUCAUCAUGCCCCUUAUGAUUUGGGCUACACACGUGCUACAAUGGACAAUACAAAGGGCAGCGAAACCGCGAGGUCAAGCAAAUCCCAUAAAGUUGUUCUCAGUUCGGAUUGUAG
rnacentral:rRNA from 1 species